rnacentral:rRNA from 1 species
CCUACGGGUGGCAGCAGUGAGGAAUAUUGGUCAAUGGCCGGAAGUCUGAACCAGCCAAGCCGCGUGAAGGACGACGGUGCCAAGCAUUGUAAACUUCUUUUGUCAAGGGACAAAAUCAGUCUCGAGUGCCUGACCGAGGGUACUUGAAGAAAAAGCAUCGGCUAACUCCGUGCCAGCAGCCGCGGUAAUACGGAGGAUUCGAGCGUUAUCCGGAUUUAUUGGGUUUAAAGGGUGCGUAGGCCGCCCGUUAAGUCAGGGGUGAAAGGCCGGGGCUCAACCCCGGGAGUGCGGUUGAACUUGGUGGUCUUGAGAGGGCGGGAGGUAGGCGGAAUGAGCAGUGUAGCGGUGAAAUGCUUAGAUAUGGCGCAGAACUCCGAUUGCGAAGGCAGCAUACCGGCGGGGAUCUGACGCUGAGGCACGAAAGCGUGGGUAGCGAACAGGAUUAGAUACCCGGGUAGUC